GAAUUUGAGGGUCAGGGAUUAAGCUCAGCAGUUCAGUGGCCUGCCUUGCAAGCGUAAGGACCCUGGUACCAAAAAAAAAAAAAAAAAGGAAUUUGAAUAUUCCCACAACAAAGAAAUGAUAAAUAUCUGAGGUGAUAGACAUGCUAAUUGCCCUGAUCUGAUCAUUACAUGUUGCAUACAUGUAUUAAAAUGUUACACUGCAACCCAUGAAUAUGUAUAAUUACUGUGUCAGUUAAAAGUAAAAAUGUAUUUUUAAACUAGGUGUGUUGGUGCAUGCCUGUAAUCCCAGCUACUUAGGAGGCUGAGGCAGAAGGAUCAAAAGCACAACUUUGUGGCCAGUGUGAACAAUUAGAGAGAUCCAUCUCAAAAACAAAACAAACAAACAAACAGAAGAAACCAAACUAUCUCAAAAAAAGAAAGAAAAUCAUAAGGUUGGCCUGAAUUUUUACCCAGAUGCAGAAAAUGUGCCCCCCCACAUUUAAAGGGUUAACGGGAGAGAAAACUUAAUUUUCUAUAAUUCCCUACAUGAUACACAUGGUAGGCAUAUCAUACAGCAUGCUUGUUUAAUGUAACAAUUGUUCAAAGAAUGUACUGAUUUAUUAAUUUGCUUUACUAAGAAAGCUAGAAAUAGCGAUGUCGUUAAAAGAUAGACCCCAACCCUCAGAUGGUGGUAGGGUCCUGGAAGGAGUCAAGCCAAAGACCGAGAGGCCACCACUCCAGUCAGUCAGGCCUGGGGGAAUCAUCACGGAGGUCAGGCCUUUGUCACAGCCUGCAGCUGCUCGAAUGCCACCAGCCUAUUCCGAGGACGCCCUGAGGCUCGAGAUUCUGCCAGUUUGGCUCGGAUGGGAGAGAUGGAGAAUUACGCAGUUCUUGAUCCUGUCUAAGAAGAAAGAAAAAUUAGGCAUAUGGAACCAUGUGGUAAGUGAGAAAAUACUAUUUUUAUUUUUUUGUUUUUUGUUUUUUUUUUGGUACCAGGGUUCUAACUUAGGUCCCUGUGCUUGCAAAGCAGGCACUGGAACCACCGAGCUAAAUCCCAG
rnacentral:lncRNA from 1 species